rnacentral:rRNA from 1 species
UGGGGAAUAUUGCACAAUGGUCGCAAGCCUGAUGCAGCCAUGCCGCGUGUAUGAAGAAGGCCUUCGGGUUGUAAAGUACUUUCAGCGGGGAGGAAGGGAGUAAAGUUAAUACCUUUGCUCAUUGACGUUACCCGCAGAAGAAGCACCGGCUAACUCCGUACCAGCAGCCGCGGUAAUACGGAGGGUGCAAGCGUUAAUCGGAAUUACUGGGCGUAAAGCGCACGCAGGCGGUUUGUUAAGUCAGAUGUGAAAUCCCCGGGCUCAACCUGGGAACUGCAUCUGAUACUGGCAAGCUUGAGUCUCGUAGAGGGGGGUAGAAUUCCAGGUGUAGCGGUGAAAUGCGUAGAGAUCUGGAGGAAUACCGGUGGCGAAGGCGGCCCCCUGGACGAAGACUGACGCUCAGGUGCGAAAGCGUGGGGAGCAAACAGG